rnacentral:rRNA from 1 species
UUGUCCGGAUAGUAUGGGCGUAAAGGGUGCGUAGGUGGCAGAACAAGUCUGGAGUAAAAGGUAUGGGCUCAACCCGUACUGGCUCUGGAAGCUGUUCAGCUAGAGAACAGAAGAGGACGGCGGAACUCCAUGUGUAGCGGUAAAAUGCGUAGGUAUAUGGAAGAACACCGGUGGCGAAGGCGGCCGUCUGGUCUGUUGCUGACACUGAAGCACGAAAGCGUGGGGAGCAAAUAGGAUUAGAUACCCUAGUAGUCCACGCCGUAAACGAUGAGAACUAGGUGUUGGGGGAAUAACUCAGUGCCGCAGUUAACGCAAUAAGUUCUCCGCCUGGGGAGUAUGCACGCAAGUGUGAAACUCAAAGGAAUUGACGGGGGCCCGCACAAGCGGUGGAGUAUGUGGUUUAAUUCGAAGCAACGCGAAGAA